rnacentral:rRNA from 1 species
UACGUAGGGUGCGAGCGUUAAUCGGAAUUACUGGGCGUAAAGCGUGCGCAGGCGGUUCGUUGUGUCGGCGGUGAAAGCCCCGGGCUUAACCUGGGAAUGGCCGUUGAAACUGGCGAACUGGAGUGUGGCAGAGGGGGGUGGAAUUCCGGCGUGUAGCAGUGAAAUGCGUAGAGAUGCGGAGGAACACCGAUGGCGAAGGCAGCCCCCUGGGCUAACACUGGACGCCUCGAGGCACGAAAGCGUGGGGAGCAAACAGGA